UGGUGAAAGUAUCUAGCAUUCUCUCAGAGAUAAAGAAACCUUUGACAGCAUGAUUUACGGGUCGUUUUUGGUCUCUGUGCAAAAAUGUGAAGGAUGCAAAAAUGGGUUUUGAAAUUGGGAAAGCAACAAAGAGUGGUUUAAAAAAAGAAGGCUGGUGUGUGCUGCUAAGAAAAUGGUGCUUUUUGUAUUGUACAAAAUUGUAACUGACUGUAAAUAAAAGAUACAGAUAAAAGAAGAAGAGGACAACAUAGAAGUCAUUUUUCAAUAUAAAUUUUAUGGAGGAAGGGUUUUUAAAAUGGGAUGGCCCUAUUUUUUAAUAACAAGGCUAAGAACACUCUGCAUCCCUGUACUGCUUUAGAUAUGAAUUCUUGAUCUUACCUAUGUGUCUAGAAAACAAGCUAAGUUGCUCGUCUGAAGAAACAUGUAUUCCAUGUCAUUUCAUUUGGCCAUUUAACCCUCUGACCCAGAAUUUCAUGGAAUUUUUUCUACAUGCUCUAUUAAUAAUAGACAUAAGGUCUCGUUAUUAGCUAUCAGUUAGUACAAAACACCAAUUCACCCAUGAUUUUAUUUUAAAAGUUUUGCAGGAGAUAAGUAAAACUUAUCUCUUACCGCUUAUAUAAUGAAUUUUCUUCUGUGUCAAACAUUUUCUUUUUCCAAUUCUCAGGAUGCAGCAAAUUCAACAUUUAUCUCCUCAGCAACAGCAACUGGUUCUGCAACAGCCACAGACAGCUGUGCAGCAACAACUGUUACAGCAACGCAUCCUCCUUCAACACCAGCAGCAACAACGAUUUGCUGCUGUUCCAGCUCAAUGGCGACCCCAAGGGACAAAUAUGAAUGCCCCUCAGCGCCAUUUAAUCCAUGUUGAUGCAAAGGCUCAUGCCCAGUUACGGCAAAUGGAUCCAACUUUAAGGACAAUUUUUCUUCAACGAAUUAAUAAGCAGCAACAAGCCAUUUAUCAACAGCAGCUGCAGAAGCAACAAUUACAAGCAGCAACAACAGCAAGUUGGAGGUGGCACUCUAGUCAAUGCAGUUGCCCCAGGAAGGCAGACAGUGGCCACAACUGUCAUCAGAGGUCAAAUUCCCCAAAAUUUAACGCCACCACAGCAGAUUCAAUGGCUUCAGCAGCAACAGCAACAACACAGCAACAACAGCAGCAGCAACAACAAUUGUCAUCCAAAAUCAGUCUCUCCAAAGGCAGCAGGUAAAGACCAAUGUAAUAUCACAAUUUUAAGUUUAGUUUUUCUUCUCGUCAUUUUCUAAACGCAAAUGCAUUUUCACAAGUUUGGUCGAUUGCUUGUAUAAUUAAGAGUACAAGAAGUUUCUGAUUACCCAAUUUAUCUUCCAAAACCCUCUCUAACUUCAAAAGAUCUUAAAAUUGUGAGGCUUUUGCAAAAAAGUUACAGUGAAAUAAUAACUUCAGACGAGGGGCCAAUUUUCGUCUGCAGAGUCACUUUCAAAACAUAUGGCUAAAGUUGCCAGGAUUAACCAUCCACCAAGAUUAGUUCUAGGGCAAGCAUGCGUCCCUGAAAUGGUUAGGAGGAACCAUCAUCUAAAGCCAGGAAAUUUGUGAUUGAAAAUUGUAAACUGUUUCUAAUUUUUUAUUUUUCAAAUUCCUAGGUUCUAGUUCAACAGUCCUCAGUCAGACAGCAGCUCAUUCCACAACAGCAAACCCAACAACAGCAACUGCUGGUCCAGCCGGCAUCAUCAGCAUCUACAAAUGUAACUAAUUGGCAGCAGCAGUCACAGCAAGUGGUCCAACAGCAGCAAGUAGUGCAGCAAGUCGGUCAACAGCAAGUGGCUCAACAACAGCAGAUCGUGCAACAAGUUGUGCCCCAGCAGCAGGUCGUUCAACAACAAGUUUCCCAACAGGGACAACCCGACCAGCAAUUACAAUGUAAGUCUCCAUUUGCCAGGUUUCUGCAAGACCAAUCCACACAGGUUAGUCAUUCCUGUAUACGUGUUUAGGAACUCUACUGCACAGUGCCAUAGAGCUGGCUGUUUUUGCAGCAGGAAAUUUAAAAGUAAUGUACUUUUUAUGGGAGCAGCCAAUGUAACGCCACUCUGGCUGCAACGAGUGAAGGCCAAGCGGAAAAGUGGAUUCCAAAAAGAUGCGCAACGGCUGACCUGUGUGGAUUGGUCUUGGGUUUCUGUUUUUUAGCCACUAAACAUCAUAGUCGGAUUAAUCUCCAGUCAGGAGAAAUGAAAGUGAGUAAAGAUAAGCUACCUUUUGAUUACGCUUGUCAACAGUUUUCAAGAGACUUUUAAAACAUCAGAACUAAGCAGGAAAUUGACUG
rnacentral:lncRNA from 1 species